rnacentral:lncRNA from 10 species
ACUGAGUAUAACCUCAAGAAUAGCAGAGAAAGUCCCACUCUGAGGUGGCAAUAAUAUGAUUUAUACCAGGUGGCAAUAAAGGACACCUUUUAUAAAGAAAUUAUAUUACAAAACAUUUUAUAGUUUUGCAAAUAUUAAAUUCCUUGCCAAGCUGUAUUCACAUUAUACUUGGAGUAACAGUUUCGGGUUAUUUACAUGUUUUAAGUGGAGUACCAAGAAAUGUGGUGGUUAUUGUAUACACGUGCAUCUUCAUCAUUUCUACACAUUAGAAUCACCUGGGAGGCUUCCUCGAUCCAUAGAGGCGCCCACGCCUCACUCCUACUUAAAUCCAGACUAGGCAUGCAGGGUGCUGGAGCCCAGGCAUCAGUAUUUUUCUUUUUUUUCUUUUUUUUGAGAUGGAGUCUCACUCUGUCACCAGGCUAGAGUGCGGUGGCACGAUCUCGGCUCACUGCAACUUCUGCCUCCUGGGUUCAAGUGAUUCUCCUGCCUCAGCCUCCCGAGUAGCUGGAACUACAGGCACGCACCACCAUGUCUGGCUAAUUUUUGUAUUUUUAGUAGAGACGGGGUUUCACAAUGUUGGCCAGGAUGGUCUCAAUCCCCUGACCUUGUGAUGUGCCUGCCUUGACCUCCCAAAGUGCUGGAAUUACAGGCGUGGGCCACCGCGCCCAGCCCUAGGCAUCAGUAUUUUUCUAAACAUUCCCCAGGUGAUUCUUAAAGUGGCCAGGUUCAAGAACAGCUGAUCUAAAGGUUCAACUCACUGUAAGCAUGGAACAGCCUCAAAGGAACUUCCUGCAAGUGAUCCAGACUUAACUCUGUUGGUCUUAACUGCUUUUAAUUUUCUUGUCCCCACUGACCAGUUAUGUGCUGAAGGCAAUUAAUUGCCACCUCUCAUUUUAACUCCUUUCAACAGAGGAAAUAAGCAGGCGUAUUCCUCCUUCUCUGUAUCUCACCCCAGUUCCUGACCCAGGGUGUACUUGACAGGUUAACACUUGGCGAUGCAUGACAUUGAGGUGCCUUCCUCUCCCUAACCUGAAGGACGCUCUAGUGAGCAAUUAUCACACCAAAAGAAAGAUGAAGGAGUCUGCAGCAUUCAAAGACAGAAGAGCAGCCAGGCAUGGUGGCUCACACUUGUAAUCCCAGCACUUUGGGAGGCCGAGGCGGGUGGAUCACGAGGUCAGGAGUUCAAGACCAGCUAGGACAACACAGUGAAACCCCAUCUCCAUUAAAAAUACAAAAAUCAGCUGGGCGUGGUGGCAGGCGCCUGUAAUCCCAGCUACUCGGAAGGCUGAGGUGGGAGAAUUGCUUAAACCCAGAGAGGCAGAGGUUGCAGGGAGCCAAGAUCGUGCCACUGCACUCCAGCCUAGGCAGCAGAGCUAGACUCCGUCUCAAAGAAAAAAAAGAGCACUGAGAACCAGCUGUAAAUGGUGAUCUACUCUUGCUAAAACGAUUCCUUAAGCUCAACAGAGUCAAUCUUGUUUCAAAUGCAUUUAGUGGCAGAAAAACAAACUAAUUUUCUUUCAUUAUUUGACUGGACUCAAUGCAUUCAAGUCAUGAAAGUUGAUGAUUCCAAAUUCAGAAUAAAAUAACACAUGACACAGAUAGUUUAGCAUUUUAUCCUCAUUUUUAACCUACAAAGUGUAAUGUUCUCAUAAAGUAUUUUAAUAAAUAUAUUAAGGCUUAAG